UUGUUUUUCAUCUACAGAGUCCUCUUCCACGGAGACCGCCAUGUUUUUACAUUAGCCCAGAAUGGACAAACCAAACACUGUCUCUAGAUGGGGUGUUUCCCGGAUUCAGUUUCUCUUACUUGCUUAGAAGAGACACCCUGCCAACGCUGGACCCAUCCAUGGCAUAUUUGGCUGACGGUCAUGUAGCUGCCUCCUUGCUUUUGAAUAAAAGAGAGGCUCCCCAUCUGGAUGGAAGACAGUCCUCUGUGUGCCUGAUUAAUGGCGUGGAGAGACAGUUGCCAGUUCUGAAGCCUUGCUGUCUGGCCCAGGUCAGAACUUCCAGAAGGCAACCUAAUGUUAGUCCAAAAGAGAGAGAGAAAAACCCCUCAGAGAUUAUUGUGGUCUUUUAUAAUGAGCAGGACCUACCUAAGUUUUAGUUCUACAAUAAAAAGUUACUAAUACAAAGUCAUUAAUAGAUGAAGGGAUAUGAAAGCCUUAAAGAGGAAAAAGGAUAUGUGUAUGUGUUGUGGUUUUUUAAAAUAAUGGAAAUAUAUUAUAAAUCUGCUAGCUGUAUUGUCUUGUCAGUGUAGGUCAACAUAACUUUGAUAAUGCACUUUAUACACAGCCUACUCAGCUGCCUUCAAGAUUUAUCACUAUUGUACUGCAUUCAUAUUGUGACCUUCAAACAACACUUCCUACUGUGGUUAUUAGAAUUUAUUUACUACAUAUCAUAAAUGAUUUGAGGUUUUUUCUCAAUUGAAUGUAUAUUUGAAUAUUUUGUACACAAAUAGGAAUGGUACUUUAAUUUAGCGACCUCAUUAAAGAAGGAAAUAAACAACAAACAACACUAAUGCAUUAUUUUAUAAUAUUCAAAUAUCUACACACCUUAUUAUAAAAACUAUGCAACAAUUUGGAAGACUAGUCCAAUCAAUCUAAUAUGAUAUUUUGAAUCUUGUGAUAUACACGUCAGUGCUCUUUGCAGCACUGCUUGUGAUUUUGGCCUGGACCAGAGAAAUGAAGGGCAAAGCAUCUCUCUUGCCACUAGAGCUUUGACUCAUUUGUCACUAAUGUGUCAAAGAGAUGAUGACAUUUACAGGCUGUUGAAGUGAGUGAAUCCCCGCCCAUCAGGCCCCCCUGAAGUAAUAAAUGUUUACCUUUAAGAAAGAGGGUUGUGGGUUUAGCUUUUUUCUUUAGAAGUGAGAGGAUCCUUUGCACGCUGGUUUCUUAUUUUUACUUUAUUUGUCAAACAGAAUAAUUUUGGAGACAGUAUUUCCACUAAUAUUAUUAUUUUAAAUUUAAACUGAGAUGGAAAUCUCGUUUCACCAAUUAAAAAGUUUUAAUGUUAGCCAUGUUUAAAAUUUUUAUGUGCCUAAAUAUUAAAUAUACUUCAAUGGCAGCAUCUUUACCUCAAUGCAAUUGAAGUCCAUUAUUGACCUGUUAUUAUGGCAUGAUUUGAUCAUU
rnacentral:lncRNA from 15 species